UACGUAGGGUGCAAGCGUUGUCCGGAAUUAUUGGGCGUAAAGAGCUCGUAGGCGGUUUGUUGCGUCGGCUGUGAAAUCCCGAGGCUCAACCUCGGGUCUGCAGUCGAUACGAGCAAACUAGAGUGUUGCAGGGGAGACUGGAAUUCCUGGUGUAGCGGUGAAAUGCGCAGAUAUCAGGAGGAACACCGGUGGCGAAGGCGGGUCUCUGGGCAACUACUGACGCUGGAGAAGCGGAAAAGCCAUGGGGAGCGAACAGG
rnacentral:rRNA from 1 species